rnacentral:rRNA from 1 species
UACGUAGGGUGCAAGCGUUGUCCGGAAUUAUUGGGCGUAAAGAGCUCGUAGGCGGUUUGUCGCGUCUGCUGUGAAAACCCGAGGCUCAACCUCGGGCCUGCAGUGGGUACGGGCAGACUAGAGUGUGGUAGGGGAGACUGGAAUUCCUGGUGUAGCGGUGGAAUGCGCAGAUACCAGGAGGAACACCAAUGGCGAAGGCAGGUCUCUGGGCCACAACUGACGCUGAGGAGCGAAAGCGU